rnacentral:lncRNA from 1 species
CAUCAGAGGACCAUGGCCCCGUAUCACCUGGGUCAGGCACUGAAGUUGGGACAGGAGAGCAGAGACUUCCAAAAUGAGGGAUCCCUGUGUUCUGAGGUGUUCAUGACUGGGACCCAAGGACUCAAGCGCAUGCUCCAGAGGGAAUCGUUUCCCACAAGGCCUUUGGCAGGAACAGGGAUCCUGGGAGCCUGCCAAGCAGAGCGCACAAGUGUUCCUGGAGUCUCGCUGCCCAGAUGCCACGGAAUCAGUUGAAGCCAGGUCUCCAGCUGGGGUGGAUGUGCCCACCAGCUGCCGAAGGCCAGGACGCCAGGUCCGGUGGACGUGCCAAGCGGGACAUGACAUGGUCCGGUGUGACGGCGAGGACAGAGGAGGCGCGUCUGGCCUUCCUGAACACCUUAGGCUGGUGGGGCUGCGGCGAGAAGCGGGUCUGUUUCUUUACUUCCUCCACGGAGUCGGCACACUACGGCUGCCCUCUGGGCUCCCAGAACCCACAACAUGAAAGGUGCGGGGCUUCCUGCCACACCUGGGGUGGGGGGCACGCGAGAGGAGCUGAGUGGGACCUCACUCCUUCCCCAUCCACAGAAAUGGUGCUACCCAGCUCAAGCCUGGGCCUUUGAAUCCGGACACAAAACCCUCUAGCUUGGAAAGGAAUAUGCUGCACUUUACAACCACUGCACUACCUGACUCAGGAAUCGGCUCUGGAAGGUGAAGCUAGAGGAACGAGACCUCAUCAACCCAACACCAAAGACACCAUCGGAACAGCAGCGCCCGCAGCACCCACCCCCCACCGGCAACUCCAUCUUCAUGGCCACCCCCU